rnacentral:lncRNA from 1 species
AGCCUGCCUCUUGGAUUAGACCAGCUGUGGACGGUCUCAGUAUCCUCUCUUGCAGCGCUGGCUAUUGUCAAUUUGUGAAUGUCCCUAAUUCCUUUACACAUAGAGGUUUUAAAUCUCAUCUUGGAUUCCUUGUUUUCCUCAUCUGUGUGGAUCCUGGUACCUAAACAGGCCAUCCCCAGGAGGGGGCAACCCUGCGCAAGUCUGAUCUCUAGCUAAUGAGGAUCAGAGAGCUGGGACACACCCUACAGUUUAGAUGAAAGAGCCUUUCUCCUUGCAGUGGAUGUGGGUGAUACAAAACAACAGGCACCACGAUGUCCCACACCAUAAUCAAGUAUAAAAGGCUGAAGUGCCGAGAAUCGUGCCCCAGCAAACCAGCUGGUUCCUGAGAGGUACCUAGUUUUCAUCGCUUCUGGAUAAAUCUACAGGGUUAGCUAUUUUGUCAGCCCGGGGGAUGGCAGAAACCCUGUGCUUCCUUUUUGACCCUGAUUUCACACACACGGGCUGCCUCCCACGGACAUCAGAUUUACAAAGUCUGAGGAGAGAUAGAAAUGUGAGUACUGAUCGCUACCCACGUGACAUCAGGCAAGGAGAAAGAGGAAAUCCGUUGGGAGCCUGCGAUAAAUGAAUCUCUUACCCUGACUAAACUGGAGAGCAAGCAUGCUGGCCAUUCCAAACAGGCUCACUAGAAAUCUCAUUUCACAUUAACGCUCGAUUUGUUUUGUCUUGCUUUGUUUUGUUUGUUUUGGGUGUAGCUUUUAGUCAGCUCAGAACUUUGAAGGGUUUCUCAGGAGAUCAAAGCUGGAGGAGUUGCGUGCCUGGGUCCCACUACAGACCUAUGAUGACAUCCGUCACAGAACCAGGAAAGAUGCAGAACCAAGAAAGAUGCAGAGACAGGAGGGAGCCUACAGGAGCAGAGAUGUCUCAGCCUUCCUAACUCCCGCUGGAUCCUGCAUCUCAGAUCGUGUGUAGAUUGAACAGUUGAGGCCUGCCACUAAUCUCUUGAAUCCUUAUUAAAAGGUCAACUUU